rnacentral:lncRNA from 1 species
CAGCACAAAUACUGCAUGCAACGAACAGGUCUGUUCACGGAGUUUGCUCAGAAUCUCAAAUGCAAUCCAUUCAUACAGGACGUGUGUGUGUGUGUGGGGGGGGGGUGUCACAACUGUAUACCAAGCGACACAGCGCCCCAUCCCACUGGGCCGGUGUGUCGCCGACUCCCCAGUGCGUGCCAACUUCCCUGGUGAUGCACCGCACAUAUGUACGUACUCGCUCCCUAUCUCGUGCCUCUCCACUUUCAGAGUAACACGCAAUGCAUUGACACAAUCACUGUAAUAACCCACAAGCUCACCAAUCAUUCUAUCCUUAUCAUUACACAAAUGCUUCGAAACUAGACUGCCUCAAAUGUCUUGGGCGCGAUCACGCACACAGUCAACUGCCAAGGUUUCGCACUCAUACAUGCCACCCGUCCGCACCCGGCUUGCGUUGGGACGUGAACAAUGACUUGCUUGGGACCCGCACAUGCAUGUCACAAAUGACAGUAAGGCGUGUUGAUGCAUUCAGAUUUGCAAAAUCAAGACCGGGGGAUGGAAGGUAUGUGGUGGAGGGGAGAAGGCCACCCGUCGGCACGCGCGCCAACCCAUACAUCCACGCGUAAGCGUCUCACCCCUUCCAUCCCCCGGUCUUGAUUUUGCAAAUCUGAAUGCAUCAACACGCCUUACUGUCAUUUGUAACAUGCAUGUGCGGGUCCCAAGCAAGUCAUUGUUCACGUCCCAACGCAAGCCGGGUGCCAGCGGUGCAGCACACAUGAUAAGUAAGCUGCCUGUAAGUAGGGUUGCGCGGAACGUAGGGGCCAGGCAGGCAGAGCGUGUCAAGAAGAAGCUUCCGUUGGAAACUACUUGGAUGUAUGGUGUGCACACCCGCCCGCCGUCAACUACAGUAGGCGCGCAGUGUACACACGUAGCAAGUAGCACCCGGCCACCUGGGGCUGCUGCUGUGCACGUGCGCAGCAUAUAUGCGUACGUGGGCACUACGUACUGGCGGCAGCCAGCACAGCGCGCGCCCGCCAUCCCGACCAACCACUCCAUCCACAAAUCCUCAUCACUCACCGCUCUUUCUGCUGCCGCCAACGCCGUCUAGGAUUGUGCCUGCGGCGCUGCCGCCGCGUCGGGGGCGGCCUGAUCGUCGUCCAUCGCGUCCUCGCCGCCCGCGUCCUCGCCGCCCGCGUCCUCGCCGCCCGCGGCCUCGCCACCCGUGGGGCGUAAGUGGCCAUUUACCCACGCAUGCUCCUUGCUGACAAGCAAGCAAAUCCCUCAGGCAGGUGCACUGCUUUCUGCCCUUCAACGUACAUACGUACACGUCCCCCCUCCACGCGCGCCUCCGUCCCGCCCCCUAUCUGCCUAGCUCGUGCGCAUGUUCUUUGCACCGCCGCGCCGCUUCUGCGGCGCACACCUACCGCAAUUGAUAUGUGCAGCGACGCCAGCGAGUUGCUGGCGGUCCACUUGUGCGUGGGCACAUUGAGGCUGCUGUGCACGAUCGGCAGGAGCGCGUGCCCCGCCAGCGUGUACAGCAGGUGCGCUGUCGCCACCUGUACCGACAUGGCGUCGGCGAACUCGACGGAAUGCUGCGCCUGCGCAGUCGCACCGAAGGCGACCGCAAGCGCUCCUGCCGCCGCCUUGACCUUCUUGUGAUUCUUGAAGCUCUUGGUGGUUCAGCUGCAGAUGGCAGGCGAGCAGGCAACGCGUCAAACCGGCAGCAGCCGAACAUGUAAGGACGGGGAGGCACCCUAGGUGCAAAAGUGCACUUUUUACCCCUCAAUAACUUUUGCCCAACAACCUGUGGAGUCACAAAACUUUGUGUACGUAAUGCUCCGGUCCCUCCGCAAUUUGUCGGGCAAAAGUUAUAUGGCUUGCAAGAUGGGGGUACAAAACGUGUCAGGAGGGGGAAUCACUGACCCCAGACUCCAGCGGAUCCCUCCUAAAAUCUUAUAAAGCAUGGCGGACACUAUCCAUAUGGAUUCUGUGAACUCGGCGGGGUGAAAUCUUAUGCGGGCUGGGAGGACAACCCGCGUGUCUGUCUGCACAGGUGGGCACGCAUGGACCAAAACGUACGUGUCCAAACCGACAUGCGUAUUCUAGCCGGCCGACUAGCUAAAGCUUCUAUCGUAUAUGUGUACAAUGUAAAGCGAGUAGACACGGGCUCAGAUUAGCCUGUCUGUCCGCACAUUCAAAGCAUGUUCUGAAGCAUGUUGCCCUGGAGGGCACGAAUUUCAGCAUCCUUUGCUGUCGUCAAUUUAUUAAGAUCUGCGUAUGUUUUAAAACAACUUACUGAACGAAGAGGAGGCCUCCUCCUCUAGGUCACGACUAGUCUCCAAAGGGUUGCUGUGAGCCUAAGUCGCACGUUGGAGUACUCUGUGAUUGCUAAACGUUAGAUUGAACCUAUCAUCGGAGCUACAGGGUCCGUUGGCGCAAAGCAUUUGACAUAGUCUAUUUGCACGAUCGUCCGCAAACGUUAAUGUAUAUUGACGUCUGUGGUAUAUGUAGCACGUGAAAGCCAUUGCAACUUGUCCGAGUAGCUAACUCGGCUGCAUGAGUGAGGGGAACAUAUGCAGACCCCUCGGCAUGGUGCCCCCGCCCCCCCCCCCCCCGCCCCCGUGUGGCCUCCGCCCCGCCAA